rnacentral:rRNA from 1 species
UGGGGAAUAUUGCACAAUGGGCGCAAGCCUGAUGCAGCCAUGCCGCGUGUAUGAAGAAGGCCUUCGGGUUGUAAAGUACUUUCAGCGGGGAGGAAGGGAGUAAAGUUAAUACCUUUGCUCAUUGACGUUACCCGCAGAAGAAGCACCGGCUAACUCCUGCCAGCAGCCGCGGUAAUACGGAGGGUGCAAGCGUUAAUCGGAAUUACUGGGCGUAAAGCGCACGCAGGCGGUUUGUUAAGUCAGAUGUGAAAUCCCCGGGCUCAACCUGGGAACUGCAUCUGAUACUGGCAAGCUUGAGUCUCGUAGAGGGGGGUAGAAUUCCAGGUGUAGCGGUGAAAUGCGUAGAGAUCUGGAGGAAUACCGGUGGCGAAGGCGGCCCCCUGGACGAAGACUGACGCUCAGGUGCGAAAGUGUGGGGAGCAAACAGG